GCGGACGUGGUGCACGGCGCACUACUGCAUUUAAUCAAGCGACAGUGUAGAUUUGAAAGUAGUGAGACGGGGUUCGACUCCCCGCGUCCGCG